GACAGGGACAGCGCACAAUUAAAAUAAUUGCACCAGAGUUAGCUAGCAGCAAGCGGCAACCUUCUGGUUUCCUGGAUGAAGCCGAACCAGAAAUGCCUAAAAGUGAAAUUCAUUGAGUGGCCAGUUGAGGCUGGCUCCAAAAGGGAGUCAGUCUCCAUUGACCUCCAUGUUAAAAAGCCCAACUUUACAGAAUAAAACAUGUUUACAGCCUGGUACAAAAGAUGGUUUUAGUGUAUACAGCUAAUUCUGCCCUUUGUGACACCUGUGAUGGGGGUCAAAUGUUUUAUAACUCACCUGUUUAAAUUAUAUUAAGCCUUAAAUUGUGCAUUAUUAGGGCGUGGCCGCUUUGAUUGACAGGUGGCUGCAGUCAGUCACGGAGCUCACCAGCUAUGCUCUGUUGGAACCUUUUGGAUAUUUCUUCAUGCAGAUACCGGACGAAUAAUGGCAGGCUUUGCGGUUAAUUGGAGAGAAAAAGAACCCUCAGAAGCCUGUGCUCCAGUUGGAGCCAGAUGAGCUGAUGGCAGCAUCAUUCCAAAUGAGAAGCACCAGAGUCCAGCUCUACAGAAGUCCCAGCUUCCAGUGUGGCCCUGCCAGCUGCUGCAGCUUACUGCUUUGCUCAGCCUUUUGCUUUUGUUUUACUUUAACAUCUGGACUCUACUGAUUUAAAAUUAUCACUGGGUUCUUCUGUCAUUAUAUUUACUGUUACAGUACAUUACUUCAAGUCAUAAAAAACUACUUUUACAUUUGUAACCUUUUAAUAUUGAUGUUUCCAUGAAUGCAAGAUAUGAUUUUAAUGUGUUCAGCUUUUGCUUUUGUAUUAGAAAUAAUUUUUGUUAUAUAAAAUUGAUCAGACUAAAUUGACUUAAAAUAAAAUAACAUUCUUCAUU